UUGCUUUGGCAGCAGGUAUACUAAAAUUGGAACGAUAUAGAUUAGCAUGGCCCCUGCGCACGAUGACAUGCGAGUUUGUGAAGCGUUCUGUGUUUAA
ensembl:snRNA U6 U6 spliceosomal RNA